rnacentral:rRNA from 1 species
AUUGAACGCUGGCGGCAUGCCUUACACAUGCAAGUCGAACGGCAGCGGGGGAGAAGCUUGCUUUUCCUGCCGGCGAGUGGCGAACGGGUGAGUAAUACAUCGGAACGUGCCCUGUAGUGGGGGAUAACUAGUCGAAAGAUUAGCUAAUACCGCAUACGACCUGAGGGUGAAAGUGGGGGACCGCAAGGCCUCAUGCUAUAGGAGCGGCCGAUGUCUGAUUAGCUAGUUGGUGGGGUAAAGGCCUACCAAGGCGACGAUCAGUAGCUGGUCUGAGAGGACGAUCAGCCACACUGGGACUGAGACACGGCCCAGACUCCUACGGGAGGCAGCAGUGGGGAAUUUUGGACAAUGGGCGAAAGCCUGAUCCAGCAAUGCCGCGUGUGUGAAGAAGGCCUUCGGGUUGUAAAGCACUUUUGUCCGGAAAGAAAUGGCUCUGGUUAAUACCUGGGGUCGAUGACGGUACCGGAAGAAUAAGCACUUACUAACUACGUGCCAGCAGCCGCCGUAA